rnacentral:lncRNA from 1 species
GGAAUAGGUGUUCCCUAGAUUCAACAGCUUGUUGGCACAUGACACAAGUGUCUGUUAUAUCCAGGUUCCAUUUGAUCAACCUUGCUUUGGUGGGCAGCCUAUCUUGCAGGAGCAGCCAUAGGUUGAAGAUUGCUUUAGGUCGAGCAGCAUUCUGUAUUGUUAAGUUCUUCCAUCUGACACUUGGUGCUUCUCCUAUCUGCUGUAAGUAGAGCUUUCUUAUAGUGCAAUCAGAUUUAUCCAGCAUUUG